GUGUCAGCAGCCGCGGUAAGACGAGGGAUCCUAGCGUUGUUCGGAAUCAUUGGGCGUAAAGCGGGUGUAGGUGGCUUUGUAAGUCAGGUGUGAAAGCCUGGGGCUUAACCCCAGAAGUGCAUUUGAUACUGCGAAGCUUGAGUGCUGGAGAGGCUAUUAGAAUUCCAGGUGUAGUGGUGAAAUACGUAGAUAUCUGGAGGAAUACCGGAGGCGAAGGCGGAUAGCUGGCCAGACACUGACACUCAGACCCGAAAGCGUGGGGAUCAAACAGGAUUAGAUACCCUCGUAGUCC
rnacentral:rRNA from 1 species